UACGGAGGGUGCAAGCGUUACCCGGAAUCACUGGGCGUAAAGGGCGUGUAGGCGGCCAUGUAAGUCUGUCGUGAAAUCCCCGGGCUCAACCUGGGAAUUGCGAUGGAGACUGCAAGGCUAGAAUCUGGCAGAGGGGGGAUGGAAUUCCGCGUGUAGCAGUGAAAUGCGUAGAUAUCUGGAGGAACACCGGUGGCGAAGGCGGCAUCCUGGACCGGCAUUGACGCUGAGGCGCGAAAGCCAGGGGAGCAAACGGG
rnacentral:rRNA from 1 species